UUAAAAGUUCACAAGAAAAAAUGUUGUUUUUAUUUGUUUUUUUGGGACAGAUUUCUUUUAUAAAGCUGAAUGAUUAUAUUUAAGUUAAAGGGAACAUCUCUACUGUUUUGUGAAAUAAUAGAUUUUAUUCAUCUAAAAAAUUCUAAACUGGGAUUUCAUUUAUUUAGCAGAUUUUUGAAUCCAUAUGUAUUUUAGUCAUGUAAUUUUUUUCAUAUGCUAUAAGGAUUUUAGCAGUCGCUCAUUGUUUCAAGAAUCAAUAUUUUUUAGUGCUGGGGAUGGGGAUUUUCAAUAGACUUUAAAAGGGUUUAGUAUUUUACACUAUUAAAUUAUAUUUAAGGAGUAGAGACCCCCUUUUGCAGGCUAGUAUGAAGUGAAAAGUCAUCUUUUAUAUCAUUCCAUGUUCGCCCUUCAGUCAUGUCUUGUUUUUGGUAGUUUCGUUGUUCAUAGGUGAAAUGCAUUAUCUGGGAACUUACAUUAUCAGCUGGAGGAAGAAAAUACGGUGAAAUGCAUUAUCUGGGAACUUACAUUAUCAGCUGGAGGAAGAAAAUACGUCUUCAACAUUUAAUGGAUUCCUAAAAAUGUUUUCUUGUUUGCCUAAUGUGUCACUGACUAUCAAUGAUUGACAUCGACCAGUAUAAAAAUAAAAAUGUUAUUUCCGAAAUUAAAUGGUAAGUUCCCAGAUAGUCAUUGAUUGUUUUCUGCAUACUGUUUUCAUUUUGCCCAAUCUUUCAAGAUUUAUUUUUUAUAAUUUUAUCAAUAUAUGUUGUGAUUUAUGAAAAUAACAGAGAGAAAAAUCAAUUUUGUAAAUGGCAGUUUUUUAAGUGAAAAAUUUGUACUCAAAUGGAUUUUUUUUGCAUAUUUUGUUCAUUAACGCAUUAUCUGUGUUGGCAGUGAGAGUAGAAAGGAGCUUGUACCAAUUUUAGACAAGAAUUUCUUGAGGGAUGAAACAUUGAAACUUUAAAAUUACAGUCAAACCUUAUGUGAAGCCUCAUAAAAUUUUAUGUUUAACAUUGAUGUUUUUAUCAUAAGUUAAAAUGUUUGGCUUUAAACAAAAUUAUUUUUAUCAAUCAUAAGAACAUGAAAUAAGAUUUGACUUUAAUUUUACACACAAAUAUAUAGUGGUAGAUAUCUGUAGGCUUAGUAAGUUUUUUUUAUAAUCAGUCGCCAUACAUCCUAGCUUUUGUUUCGGUAGUAGGUCUUUAUGUAGGAUAGUUGUAGGUGAUUUAGAUGAGCCAUCUUCUACAGGCGCUGUGAAUCGCUGGGAUUUCAUAGUAACAUGUAGAUAACUUGUACUUUCAUAGCUAAGCAGGAAUUAUACACAAGUCUCUAAAUCCUAUUAAACAUUUAGUAAGGUUUGACUUUUGUUUUCUUCUCAAAAUUUUGAUAUUUACUAUGAUUUUUGGGGGAGGGGGGAUGAAAAGGGGACAUACU
rnacentral:lncRNA from 1 species